rnacentral:misc_RNA from 1 species
UGACAUUUUUACAUAUUGGUACGCAUGCGUAACAUUAAAAACAUUUUUUAUUUAAAAACAGAUUGUAUCACGAGAAAAAGUAGUAAAAGUGAAGAAAUCCUUUUAAUUGAAAAUUUAGAGAUUGUAUCACGAGAAGAAGUGGUUGUAGUUCAUUUAGAAACAGAUUGUAUCACGAGAAGAAGUGGAAAAAUAUUUCUGUAUUAUAAGAUAAAGGUUGAAAUACUUUGAAACAGCUGCUGAUAGCGAUGAAAAAUUGUCCAUGCCACCAGCUAAAAAGUUAGCAGUUUGUAAUACAAGUGACACUGAGGAGACAUAUCCAUCAGUUUCCCCAAUAUUGAAGAAAUCUUUUAAUUCCCAAAAUAUUUUACAACCCACAACUGUUCGAUAUAUUGAGCCAUUUAGUUCGAAUCGUUCUCUACUGAUAUUUUCGUCUUCUGAUCAGAGCUUGGCAACUGUUAUGGCUGCUUUAGGCACCCGAUUUCCUGGUAAAGGAUUACCUUGAUGGGUUAUUUGUUUGAAGGUUGAAUUAAAUGUACUCUUUAAUAUAUUUUUGAAUCAUUUGAGAAGAAAAGUUUAGAGUUGCUUGACAGUAUUCAAUAUGAUUUGAAAAAGUUAAACACUUGCCUAAUCAAUUUAGAAAAAGGUUUAGUGUUUCCUUCUGUUAGCAAUCAGAGCAUAGCAGGACCAUCCCCAUCAGUUAAAUGGAAUUAUUUGCCUGUUAAA